GUAUCGUGCACGACAGUUCCACUAUAAUAUGUAGAUAUGUUGUUUGAUGAAUUAUGUAUGAUUGCGUUCAAUCUGUAUGACCACUCCUUAACACCGCAGCAUUGUAUUACUCUGGUGCAGGCUGGAACCUCGGAAUUGAUGCACUAUAUACAGUAGAACCAUUGUAGGUUAAAUUUAGCUAACAAAUAUGAAAUGCUCUAACGAGUGUGGCAUCCUUCCACACGAAAAUCCCAAGCAGAAAAGAAAAAUGACAACGUGUCCAAAGAACUCAUCUGACCACUGUUUAAAAAUAGCCAAACCUGUCCGAAGAACUCGAUUGACCACUAUUUAAAAAUAGUCAACAGGUGUGUAAAUAGGCUAAGCCUAAUCAGUGUGCGUUUAAACACAGGUGAACCAAACUUAGGCCAAACGUACAUAUAUACAUAAAAGCGUAUGUUAAAACUAUGUAUAAAAUAAACUGUGAAAAAAGGCGUCCUGCGCAAAGACUGCAAGUGCAAUUCUCUGAUCAUUACGACAAUUUCACAAAUCAUUAUCUA
rnacentral:lncRNA from 1 species